CCCAGCGGCCCAGAGACAAGAUGGGCGGUGCGUCGCAGAACCGGAAAGGAGCCACAGGCUGACCCCGGCUUUCUGUGUGGCUGGAGGGGGAGGCGGCCCCCUAGUGGCAAAGGUCCGCACAGGGCCGAAGUUCAACGAGUCCCAGAGACUAAAGGUGACCUUCCUGCCCUGGGUUCUGAUGCCGCCUCCCACGACCGGGGGCCGAGCCGGCUGGGGGUGCCCCAAGAUCUCCUGGAGCAGGAUCGCUUCCUCACUGUGGCCCCUCUGCAAACUUCACGCUCCUUACCUGCACUGACGCGAGAGCAACAGAGGAGUCAAUUGCCCCCAGCUCCUGAUAGCAAGUGACAUUGAUUAGCCGGCUCCUGCAAAGGGCGAUGUGUUACCUGCAGUCAACAGCGGUUUGGAAACGAGGGGUCCCCCUUCUGACGGAUAAUCAGAAAGUCACAAGUAGCCUAACACUACGUCGAAAUGCCCACGUUGCUCCCUCACUUCAUCUCCUCACACAGGCAUUUUAUCAUCUCACAUCGUUACAAGAAAGGUCUACACCAUCCAAUAUGGCAGCCACGACUCAUGUGUGCUAGUCCCAGUUGAGCAAGUAUAAAGAGCACAUCGGCUUCUGAAGACUUAAUACAAAAAAAAAAAAAAAAAAAAAAGACACGCAGUAUCUCAAUAAUAUUUUAUGAUUACGUCUUGAAAUAGUACUGUUUUGGAUAGUUUGAUUAAAUAAAACAUACUGUUAAUUAACUUCACCUCUUUUUCCUUUUAAAGAUCUGGUAACUAGAAAAUCAUAAUACAUAGCUUGGAUGAUAUUUUGAUUGGACGGUGCUGCUCAGGAUGACACAAUCAGGGAGGAAUGGGGAGGUCUGGCUUUUUCUCUCUUCAUCUGGAUCAACAGGUGUAGGAUGGCCCUACUCAGGGUUG